CCUACGGGGGGCAGCAGUGAGGAAUAUUGGUCAAUGGACGAGAGUCUGAACCAGCCAAGUAGCGUGAAGGAUGACUGCCCUAUGGGUUGUAAACUUCUUUUAUAUGGGAAUAAAACAGGGUAUGCAUACCCUCUUGUAUGUACCAUAUGAAUAAGGAUCGGCUAACUCCGUGCCAGCAGCCGCGGUAAUACGGAGGAUCCGAGCGUUAUCCGGAUUUAUUGGGUUUAAAGGGAGCGUAGGUGGAUUGUUAAGUCAGUUGUGAAAGUUUGCGGCUCAACCGUAAAAGUGCAGUUGAAACUGGCAGUCUUGAGUACAGUAGAGGUGGGCGGAAUGCGUGGUGUAGCGGUGAAAUGCUUAGAUAGCACGAAGAACUCCGAUUGCGAAGGCAGCUAACUGGACUGCAACUGACACUGAUGCUCGAAAGUGGGGGGAUCAAACAGGAUUAGAUACCCGUGUAGUC
rnacentral:rRNA from 1 species